rnacentral:tRNA from 1 species
GCCUUCGUGGUGUAGCGGUCAGCACCGUCGGCGCGUAUUCCAGAGGCCCGUGGUUCGAGUCCCGGCGAGGGCA